GAUGAACGCUGGCGGCGUGCCUAAUACAUGCAAGUCGAGCGAACGGACGAGAAGCUUGCUUCUCUGAUGUUAGCGGCGGACGGGUGAGUAACACGUGGAUAACCUACCUAUAAGACUGGGAUAACUUCGGGAAACCGGAGCUAAUACCGGAUAAUAUUUUGAACCGCAUGGUUCAAAAGUGAAAGACGGUCUUGCUGUCACUUAUAGAUGGAUCCGCGCUGCAUUAGCUAGUUGGUAAGGUAACGGCUUACCAAGGCAACGAUGCAUAGCCGACCUGAGAGGGUGAUCGGCCACACUGGAACUGAGACACGGUCCAGACUCCUACGGGAGGCAGCAGUAGGGAAUCUUCCGCAAUGGGCGAAAGCCUGACGGAGCAACGCCGCGUGAGUGAUGAAGGUCUUCGGAUCGUAAAACUCUGUUAUUAGGGAAGAACAUAUGUGUAAGUAACUGUGCACUUCUUGACGGUACCUAAUCAGAAAGCCACGGCUAACUACGUG
rnacentral:rRNA from 1 species